CCUACGGGAGGCAGCAGUGAGGAAUAUUGGUCAAUGGACGAGAGUCUGAACCAGCCAAGUAGCGUGAAGGAUGACUGCCCUAUGGGUUGUAAACUUCUUUUAUAUGGGAAUAAAAUGUUCCACGUGUGGGAUUUUGUAUGUACCAUAUGAAUAAGGAUCGGCUAACUCCGUGCCAGCAGCCGCGGUAAUACGGAGGAUCCGAGCGUUAUCCGGAUUUAUUGGGUUUAAAGGGAGCGUAGGUGGAUUGUUAAGUCAGUUGUGAAAGUUUGCGGCUCAACCGGAGAAUUGCAUUUGAAACUGGCAGGCUUGAGUACAGUAGAGGUGGGCGGAAUUCGUGGUGUAGCGGUGAAAUGCGUAGAUAUCACGAAGAACUCCGAUUGCGAAGGCAGCUCACUGGACUGCAACUGACACUGAGGCGCGAAAGUGUGGGUAUCAAACAGGAUUAGAUACCCGAGUAGUC
rnacentral:rRNA from 1 species